CCCUGCACUAGCCAAGUGUCACACCCUCUCCUCAACCCUCACCCCCCCCCAGUCAAGUAUCAACCCUGCACUAGCCAAGUGUCACACCUCCUCCUCAUACCUCACUCCUCACCCCUCCCCUAGUCAAAUAUCAAAACUGCAUUAAUCAAGAGGCACCUUCUCCUCAACACCCAAAAUCUACAAAGAAAUGGUUCAUUUACCAAAAAAAAACUACUUUUUGCAAUGGCAAUCUCAGUCUCUGGACUUAACCCCAUUGAAACCCUGUGAUUUGAAUUGAAGAAGGCAGUCCAUAAUUGCAGAUGAAGGAUAUCAAGGAUCUAGAAAGAUUCUGUAUGGAGGAAUGGUUUAACAUCCCUCCCAAAGUGUUCUCCAACCACAUAAAACAUUUAAUAAAAAUGCUCAGUGUCGAACAGGUGAUCCAAUACUUUUGACCCCUAACUUUUAGAGAAUUUUUGUUAUUACUUGUGAAACGAAAUCUCUUUCUCUGAGUAAGUUUAUUUGUGUAUAGCUUAAUAUAGCUAAGUAUUUGUCAUAUUUUUUUAUAGUAUUUUUUGGUCAUCUUUAUCAAGGGAUCCAAUUAUUCUGGACCCCGCAAGCUCCUUGCAUUUGUAGUUACCAGCCAUGGAAGGGGGUGAAAAGACUGCAUCUACAGCUGUCAGAAAAGGGAGACAGUAGGCUACAGGAUAGGACAGGUCAUUUUGUGGGAGGACUUUAUGAAAAGAUUAUCCAGUUGUCUCUAAUAAAGACAACUAUUAGGACAGAGAGAUAAUAGCAACAUCAUUUUCAGUGUGUCACGUUCUGACCAGUAUGAGGGUUAUUUUGUUAGUGUAGGCUGGUCAGGACGUGGCAGAGGGUAUUUGGUUUAUGUGGUUCGGGGUGUGUGUAUUAUGUAGAGGGUAGUUGAUUUAUGUAUUCCGGGGUUUUUUGGUCACUGCUCUAUGUUAGUCUAUUUCUAUGUUCUUUCUAGUUAGUCUGUUUCUAUGUUUAGUUAAUUGGGGUGUGGACUCUCAACUGAAGGCAGGUGUUGUCUAGUUGCCUUUGAUUGAGAGUCCUAUAUAUUAGGGUGUGUUUGUAAAUUGUGGGAGGUUGUCUCUUGAAUUGCUGUCUUUAGCCUUCAAGUCUGUAUUCGUCAUCCAUCAUUUUGUUUUGUUUGUAUAAGUGUUUUCAUUAAAGUUAAUUAUGAGCACUCAACCCGCUGCGCCUUGGUCCAUUCCAGACGACAACCGUUACAGAACCUCCCACCAAAUCCGGACCAAGCAGCGGAGGAAGGAGCAACAGGUGGACUUUGAGGAGCAAAGGGAAUUUGAGUUGGACCAACGGGAGAAAUGGACAUGGGAACAGAUUAUGGCCGGAGAGGGCCCAUGGAGAAAAUGGAGCGAAGACCGGGAACACUACAGGGGAACACGACUGGCAUUUAAGCUGGAGAGGCAGCCCCAAUAAUUUUUUGGGGGGCACACGGGUAGUUUGGCAGGGCCAGGAUUGAGCCGCAAGCCAAAUCCCUGUGCUUAUUGGGGGCAGCCUAUUUUUAGUCAGGUCCCGUGCGUUGGAGUGCUGUGCACGGCGUCGAGGCCUAGUAUUCACAGGCCGGUGUGCGCAGUACCUGCGCCCCGCAUUUGUCAGGGGAAAGCGGGUAUCCAGCCAGGAAGGGUGGAGCCAGUGCGCCUUCACGGUCCAAUAUAUCCUGUUCCCGCUCCUCGCACUAGCCGUGAGGUGUGUGUGUUUCCAGGCUGGCAUAUCCAGUACCAGCACCAGGCUUCCAGUGCGUCAGCCCAGUCCAACCCGUCCUGUUCCCGCUCCACGCACUAGCCCUAAGGUGUGUGUUUCCAGUCUGGCAUAUCCAGCACCACGCACCAGGCUUCCAGUGCGUCAGCCCAGUCCGACUCGUCCUGUUCCCGCUCCCCGCACUAGCCCUGAGGUGCGUGUCCCCAGGCUGAUACCUCCAGUACCAGCACCACGCAUCAGGCUUCCAGUGCGUCAACCCAGUCCGACUCGGCCUGUUCCCGCUCCCCGCACUAGCCCUGAGGUGCGUGUCCCCAGGCUGAUACCUCCAGUACCAGCACAACGCAUCAGGCUUCCAGUGCGUCAACCCAGUCCGACUCGGCCUGUUCCCGCUCCCCGCACUAGCCCUGAGGUGCGUGUCCCCAGACUGGCAAAUCCAGUACCAGUACCACGCAUCAGGCUUCCAGUGCGUCAGCCCAGCCUCGAGAGUUCGGCAACAGUAUGCAGUCCAGAGUAUCCGGCAACAGUAUGCAGUCCAGAGUAUCCGGCAACAGUGUGCAGUCCAGAGUAUCCGGCAACAGUGUGCAGUCCAGAGUAUCCGGCAACAGUGUGCAGUCCAGAGUAUCCGGCAACAGUGUGCAGUCCAGAGUAUCCGGCACCAGUGUGCAGUCCAGAGUAUCCGGCACCAGUGUGCAGUCCAGAGUAUCCGGCACCAGUGUGCAGUCCAGAGUAUCCGGCACCAGUGUGCAGUCCAGAGUAUCCGGCACCAGUGUGCAGUCCAGAGUAUCCGGCACCAGUGUGCAGUCCAGAGUAUCCGGCACCAGUGUGCAGUCCGGAACCGAGGGGGUCUGCCUGCGACCCGGAACCGAGGGGGUCUGCCUGCGACCCGGAACUGAGUAAGCCUGACGAUUUGGAAUUAAAUAUGAUUAACUGUAUAACGAAUGAGUCUGCCUUCAGCAUGGAACGGAAGAGGUCUGCCGAUGAUCCGGAACGAGGGGAGUCUGCCUACGCCCCGAAACUGAUCAAGUUCUGCAUUCUGGAGGACAGUAGGCCGGAGCCAAAGCCACCUCCAGUAUAGGUGGGUUGGGGAGGGGGGGUGUAGCACAGGUGCCGUCGUUGACGCCAGCCACCCUCCCUUCCCUCCCUUUUAGUAUAGGGGUAAUUUUCUUUUGUUGUUUUUUUGUGUGUGAGGUGCAUCCGGGGUCUGCACCUUUUGGGGGGGGGGUAGUAAUGUCACGUUCUGACCAGUAUGAGGGUUAUUUUGUUAGUGUAGGCUGGUCAGGAUGUGGCAGAGGGUAUUUGGUUUAUGUGGUUCGGGGUGUGUGUAUUAUGUAGAGGGUAGUUGAUUUAUGUAUUCCAGGGUUUUUUGGUCACUGCUCUGUUAGUCUAUUUCUAUGUUCUUUCUAGUUAGUCUGUUACUAUGUUUAGUUAAUUGGGGUGUGGACUCUCAAUUGAAGGCAGGUGUUGUCUAGUUGCCUUUGAUUGAGAGUCCUAUAUAUUAGGCUGUUCGUGUUUGUAAAUUGUGGGAGGUUGUCUCUUGAAUUGCUGUCUUUAGCCUUCAAGUCUGUAUUUGUCGUCCAUUGUUUUGUUUUGUUUGUAUAAGUGUUUUCAUUAAAGUUAAUUAUGAGCACUCAACCCGCUGCGCCUUGGUCCAUUCCUGACGACCGCCGUUACACAGUGCUGUCAAAUGUUUAUAUAAUGUAGCCUGUUUCUUUGAUGUUUUCUGUCCUCAGACACAGUGGGCCGUAAAAGCCUGUCCAGAGACAAAAAGGUCCCAAUGAGUGUCCCAAGAUAAUAUUUUAAUUUUAUUUAUUUAACUAGGCAAGUCAGUUAAGAACAAACUAUUAUUUACAAUGACAGCCUCGGAACAGUGGGAUAACUGCCUUGUUCAGGGGCAGAACAACAGAUUUUUACUUUGUCAGCUCAGGGAUUUGCACUCAAGCAACCUUUUGGUUACUGGCCCAGCACUCUAACCACUAGGCUACGGAUUAUAUGUGUACCUAUGUUAGCAAAUGUUGUAUACAGCUAAAAGUCACACACAAUGUAUAACCCUAUCACAAUUGUAGCAGGCCAACCCUGCUGCUGGAGGUCUGUAGGCUUCUGUUCAAGCCCUGCACUGACACAUCUGAUUCAACGUAUCAAACCUAAUGAGUUGACAAUCAAGUGUGCUAUUACUGGGCUGGAAUAGAACAUUUUGAAAUGUUAUGAAAUAAAGUGUUGAUUCUUUGAAGUGAAGUGUUUAAACUUGUUUUAAUUGUUGAAUCACAGAUCACAAUCCUGCAAUGAAGAGGGGAAGGGGAUCUGUCCCUAAUUUUGUCUGUGUUGUAUUCUAAAAUGAGCAUUGCCUUAUUGUCCAGUUAUAUGCUCUCCAAUCUGUUUUAUCAAAACAUCAGCCAUGUGUACCCAUUUUGCAGCUUGUCACAUGGCAUGCAACGCCAACGCAGCCAUAGGCUUACAGCAUGUCGGCAUUACUGGCCUUAUGGGCAUGUGCAAUGCACCCCUUAUCAUUGUACAUCUGAAGCAGAGAAAAGCUAAACUCACACGUUUACACAUACUUGAGUAUAUGUUGUCAAUUUAAAAUGAUACAGGUAGAAAAUAUUUAUGAGGCUAACCAUACCAGAUUCUUUCUGGUAAUCAUGUGGUCCUAGCAGUACCACAGGUUUUUUGACUGAGACUAUGGUCCUGUGUUAACUGAAACAAUGAAAAUGAGUUUAAACCAAUAAAACCUAUUGACAUACAGUACUGUCAUUAAAAAUACGAUGGGAAAAAAACAUGACUGUAAAGAAUGAAUUGUAAUAACAAAGGAAUUAUAUUUAUAUUAUUUAUUCAAAUGUGCUUUUUCCCUGCCAACCAGUUUUGUUUUCUUUGAAAGUUUGUCUAUGGCAGCUAGCCUCCCUCAAGGUCUUCCCCUCCACCCCGCGAUGCAGACACAUUACUUUCUCAGAAAAAUAUAAGUAAAGGGAGUAUAUAGAUAUGGGUUCAUACACAGAUGGAAUUUCAUGACUUUUCCAUGACUUCUCCAUUACAUUUAACCAAAUUUCCAUGACCAAGUAUACAUGAAAAAGUAAGAAUGAAUGUGCUGCUCUCUGAUUUCAUGUACCAUCUCCUGCAAUUGUACCCUUGAGCAAGGUACUUAACCCUCCACAAAGUAGAAUAACUGCACUGUAAGGUUACUGUAUAAAGCACAUGUAGUCAACCCUCCAUCUGGAGAGCUACUGGGUGUGCAGGCUUUUGAUAAAGCCCUGAAACACUCCCGAGUCUGCUUACCAAGGUCCUUGUGAGCAGCUAAGUUUUAGAAUGUGUUGUGCUAGAAUGAUGCUGGAACAAAAGCCUGCACACCUAGUAGCUCUCCUGGAGGAUGGUUGGCCACCCUUGAUAUAAAACAUUGCAACAUUACAACCAAUACGACAACAGAUCAUCGAGUAGUAACAAAGGUUAUUAUUACUAAAGCAUCAUUUCAGGUUAAAAAAAAUCCAUACCAGCAUUUGCCAACCUUGAUACACUGAUCCCUGAUCUACUGGGUGAGCAGACUUCCAUUCCAGCCCAGCUAUCGCACACUUGAUUAUCAAGUGUUCUAUUUGAAACAUUGAAUCAGGUGUGUUAGUGCUGGUCUGGAACAGAAGCCUGCACACCCAACAGACCACCAGGAGCAGGGUUGGCCUGCCCAGUUGUAAUAGGGUCAUACAUUG
rnacentral:lncRNA from 1 species